CCCGCCCCCAGGGUUGGUUUUUCCCAGCUGCGGAGGCUGGGCCAGGGGCUGGGGUGCUAGGAGAGUCGGCGCCGGCUGCGCGGAGCCGGGAAGUGGCCGCGACUCCGGUGAGACUCAGAGUUGUCUCUGGAGGUGACCCGCGCGGAGGUCCUGAAGCGGAUCGAGCGCGAGGCGCCAACAAAAGAGGCAAGAGGGUGCCACCGGGGGGCGGCGGCCGGAAGAGGAGCGGGAGGAAGAGCUGAGCCUCCGGACUCGCCGGCAAUCUUCAUGCUCUCACUUUGCUCUCAGCAAGAACACCUGGGAUUCUUCAGCCUUGCCAUGUGUGGAGAACAGCCCAAAAAUAGGCCUGCGAACACUUCCAAGAUGGAUUGCUACUCUUUGCCUGAAGUAAAACAGAACCAGCUUUUAUUCACAUGCAGACUGAAAGGAAGACUCUCAGGUCAGACUGAAUCUCAGCAGAAUGGAAGUAUUUUCCCUCCAACUGUCAUCUCACCCCUUUUUCUCACGUGGUCUAUGGAACUCUUCAGGAGGCCCGGUCACUCCAGAAUUCUAUUCCUUGCAGACAGGAGCUUCUGUUCAGUCCCCAGAGAAUAUAGUUUGGGUAAUUCUUGCCAGCAACAUUCUCUUCAAGUCUGUCACAUGUCUUAUUGCCCAUCUGCAGAAUAAACUUCUGGAGGAAAGCCAGCAACUGACAAAUGGACAAUACAGCAACUGACAAAUGGAACGUUCUCCGAAGCUAAAUGGAAAACUCAUCAAUCAUACCCCCCGGUUGCCGAGUUAUACAUGGUGGAAAUCAUGUUCCGUGUCAAGUCUACCUUGAUAAGUCACACUUGUUCACUAACCCGCACAUCUCUAGCAAUGAACAGAGAAGGUAAAGGAGAAAGAACGACCCCAGGACUAAUUCCUUCAUUUCCUCCAGAUAUGAACUCUUGCUUUCAGAUGUUAAACGGUUGCUAAUUUCUUCCAGUAUUUAACAUGGAUGGUUUCUAGUCAUUAAACAAAAAGAGAAGAUGCCAGUUGAGAUAAAAAUCCCUCGGCACACAUUAAGUACACACAUUUCUGAGCAAACUACAACCAGACUUCAGAUGCCUGAGAAAUAGCACAGGCUGAAUUGAGUCACGGAGAACUAAUCAGUUUUCUGUUGUCCAGCCAAGCUCGUGUUUGUCUAGUUGUUUGCAUAUUCCUUGCCCAAACAGCAACAUCAAAGUAACAAGGAGAUGCCAGAAACUAGCACUACUUUAAAAGAAGACACUGUCUUUAAUUUGCUCACUUAUUAAACAAAUAUUAUGGGAUGCCUAUCAUUUGCCAGAUAUUGUUCUAGGCACUGGGGAUACCACAAUGAGCAAGAGACCUUUCCCCACAAAGAGAAAGGUCCUCUGCUAGUUCAUGAAAUGUCUUAUGAUUCAAAAUGAGAAAAUUAUAGUAAUGAUAAUGAAAUGGGUGAAAUAAUACAUAGUAGAAUAAAUAUGUUUUAAUGGGAGAGGGACUAUGGCCAGAAAGAUAUUUUCUUCAAGCUCUGAAAUAAAGCUUUCUUACAAACAAGUAAAAUUAAAGAAAUCCUAAGUGUGUCAACCUUUGUUUUAAUUUUUAUUGUGAAGAUUGUACCCAGAAGAAAAUGGAAAUGACUUCUAAAUACAUGAGAAUAGAUAAGUAUGAGUGUAGAUGUAUGUGGUGUAUAACUUCCUAUAGGUUUCUCCAGUCCUUUGCAGUUUCUAUUGAACUUUCUCAAAUCCAUUAGGUAAACCAACCAAAAAUGAAAAACUAGAGGCUCUUUCCUUCCUGCCACCCACAAAAUCAGCCCAGA
rnacentral:lncRNA from 1 species